UCUUUAUCUUUGCUUUUAAUUUAUGCAGCAGAAUUACUUGUUCAUUGGUAUGAGUAAUUUUCAAUAUUUUGCCAAACAGCCUGUGGCAACUGAAAACACAAGUUGCAUACAUUAGACUUUUCUUUUUGAGUGCAAUGCAACAAAAACAAAUUAUGCUGCAAACCCAACUUCAUUGAACUGCAGGCACUCAUAACUACUUAAAAAUACUUUUAAAAUAUCUGUAUUUAUGAAAACAAAUUUGACCAACAUAUUUGGGAGGCAAAUAGUAGAGCAAAGCAUAUCUUAUGACUAUAAUAAUUUUUUAUCGUACUUUGUUGUUAUUUAUGUUUUUUAUCUCCCUACUCUGACAAAAUGCUUUAUAUAUCAUUCAGUCCAUCUUAUUCUAGAACCUACUAUAUUUGAAACCCAAUAAAUAGUUGUAGACCAAUUUUCUUACUGUUACAUAUUCAGAUUAUUCCUUAAAGUUCACCCUACAAGUAAACUUUCCAUCAAUUUCAUAAUGUGGUGAAAACUCUCUAGUAGCUCAGAACAUUCUUGGUGGUCUCAAUGUAUUAAAAGUAUGCAGUCAGAUACUGAUGUCCCUGAGUCCUGCAGAUAGCUAACAAAGCUGAAGCCCACAGGCUAGUGAGCACCAGCUGAGAGCAACUUUCUAUAGACUUUGUGGGCAGUCCAAGAGAGACAGGAUCUGAGAUGUGAUGAUAUGUCCUCUGGCAGCAGCAAUAUCUGAUAUCGAGCUCUGCUAGGUGGUGCUGAGUGUGGCCUCUGAGGUGUCUUAUUAUCUGGACACCUGCUUCCUUCACCGGCUGUAGAGAACACAGUAUCCAUUAAAGGAGCUGAAGGAGGUGCUAGAGGAGUUUACAUGGCAGGAGUCCAGGAAGCUCUGCAGCAGUCCAAAAUGAGGUUGGGGCACAUGAUACACUUGUUCAUCCCUAUUCUCUAUCUUCACACAUAUGCAUAUCUGUCCUUCCGUGGCUGCUGUAUCCUUGUGAUGGGAUCCAAUCCAGCUGCAGUCUUGCUCUCCCAAUGCAUGCUCAUUCUGCAAAUCAGAGCUUCAACGUAUUGCUACGAAAAAUUCUGACUGGUCUUGAAAUCCAUUGACAUCAUCACAAGAAAAUUCAACAUGACAUCGUCAUGAACAGAAACGGAUGAUUGCUUCAUAUUCUUAAAUAUAAUUUCCAACUAUGGUGAAAUUUUGAAUGGUUGUAAAAACUGUUUUUGCAUUUUUGUGCCUCACUUAUUUUGUUAAUGGAGACUAUCUAGAGUUUGAAGUAAUUCUCAUCAAAAAAUCGAUCAGUAAUUAUUUCAAAUAUAAAACUGAUAUCGAAAAAUUGAGUUAAUGAAAAUAAACUCAAUUUUUUCAUAAAAAUAUGAAAUUAUAUGGGACUUUAUAUACAUGGAAAGUGAAUAAUUUCUAUUAUUUUUCUAUUUGAUAUUUAUCAUAUUUAUGUAAUUAAAAAACAUAAUUAAAUUUUAAACUAAAUUAAACUGAGCUCCAGGAAGACUUAUCAUUUUCUCUGAACCGUGACUCUGAAAAUUUGGAAAGCACCGUGCAAGAGGGAUUUUCAGUGAUUCACAGGAGUGCAAGAUUCUGCAAAGUACUUUCAAAACGGAGCGUGAGGUCUUUGCUACUGCCUUUAUGGCAUGCAAAUCACUCAGCCUCAACUCAGUUCCUUCCUCCAAUGUAAAAAUACUACAAAAACAACAUCUCACGCUUCCAUCAAAUGGGACUAUGUGUGAUAUUUUACACUGGACUAUACAAUAGACUGGAAAAGUGAUCCGCAGAGAGGCUCAUUGCUGUAAGUUCACUCCCUGUACCAACUGUCUUGCACAAAGCUGCCACCCUGAUGUCUUCUUCCAACAUUUCCCCUAGUUGGACUUCAAACUUUCCUUCUUCCAGCCUGUGCUGGGACCAAGAGGCCCGUCUAGAGCAGCUGCCCAGCAUUCGGAUCCGACAUCCUUUUCCCUUUCCUCUGGACGACUUGGAUGCGCGCCAGCCCAGCCCGGGUCUCCAGGUUCAGCUGCGGAAGCUUCCCACAUGGUGCCCGUCGAUUGGGAUGCGGCUGGUGGGCUCCGUCCAGUGUCCUUGUGCCUUCUCUGCAGGUGUCCCAGCAGGUAGAGGAGGAGACCGGUGGCUGGUGUUCCUGCAAGGCGGGGCUGGGGCUCCUCGAUGUCCUUGCGCUCGCACUGCAGGUUCUGCGCCCCAGGCCCCGGCAGGGACGGAAACAGGCCGGGAAGCAGUGACACCUGGGGCCGUCAGUCAUCCAGGAGCCGCCGCCACCCGCCCCACCCCCAGUCUCCGCGGGAGGUGUUUGUCUUCGUCUCUGCUCCCGGCUCUUUCUCUUUCACUUUUCUUUUCGCCGGGGUUUGGGAAUCCGGGUGGAAGGCGCCCGGGGGAAUCCCAGCUGACUCGCUCACUGCCUUCGAAGUCCGGCGCCCCGCCGGGAGGGAACUGGGUGGCCGCACCCUCCCGGCUGCGGUGGCUGUCGCCCCCCACCCUGCAGCCAGGACUCGAUGGAGAAUCCAUUCCAAUAUAUGGCCAUGUGGCUCUUUGGAGCAACGUUCCAUCAUAUUCCAUGCUGGUGAUGUCACACGGAGCACAGAAAUCAAUGUUAGCAGAUAGCCAGCCCAUAAAGAGCGUAUUGUGUUGUAGGAGGCAUCGUGGAUGGAUGGCUGCUGGAAACCCCUUGCCAUAGCCAGCUCUUCUUCAAUACUUAAGGAUUUACCGUGGCUUUGAGUAAUGAGAAUUUCGAAACCACAUUUGAGAAGUAUUUCCAUCCAGUGCUACUUGUGUUUACUUCUAAACAGUCAUUUUCUAACUGAAGCUGGCAUUCAUGUCUUCAUUUUGGGAUGCAGCUAAUAUACCCAGUUGGCCCAAAGCACCUAACCUAUAGUUAUAUAAUCUGACUCUCAGUUCAGUUUUACUCUACUAAUGCCUUCAUGGUAUUGGGAACCAUAGAUUUGUGCAGGUAAUUCUUCAUCAUAAGACAGAUUAGUGUUGACUAUCAUGCUUCUGUGUAAGAUCCAUCAGGAAGUGAGUGAUUAUUUUUCCUCAAGCUCUAAGAAUCAUUCCAAUGUUACUUGGUCAGUAUAAGUGUAUUUUGUCUGGAUAUUAAAUUUUUAUGAAAUUUGUGAAAGUGAGUAAGUAUAUGAUCAUUCAGCCUACACUGGGAUGAAGUCUGUACUGUUUAUGGAGAAAGCUGCUGCAAGCAUAGUGAGAGUGUGAGCAACAUGAAAGGGGCAUGUUUAAUGUAUUGUAAAAAAAAAUUUACUGUCAAAAUCAUUACAUGAAAAUAAUUGUUACUUAUUUUAAGAAUUUUACCUAUUUAUUAGACUUCAAAGUCUCUGUAAAUCUCUACUUAAAGGAAACUAGUAAUUCAUUCAAAAUCAUUUAUUGAGCAUUGCCACACAUCUGGCACUGUUUCUAUUUCAUUGUGAUAAAUUGAGCCAGUUUAUUUAUAAAGUAUGCCUACAAUUAGGCUUUUCUCUAAUCCGGGUUGGUGAAGCCUCAAGUUAUCAUAAAAUGCCAAAGUUGUACUAUAUGCUGAAUGUUUACGUUCAGUUACAAGGCUGUUGAAUGCACAGAGGCAAGGAUAACACUGAUUUUUUCACUGGUCAGAAUAAAAAAUUAUUGAUUGCUCUUUUGCUUAUAGUAUUCAUCAAGAUGAAUAGGCUCCUUCAAAAUGCUUUGC